rnacentral:lncRNA from 1 species
GGGGCUCGGCGGCUGAAGGGGGAGGCAGCGCAGCGGAGCCUGCAGAGAGCGAGAGCUUCGCCCGCACCCGCCGCCACCGAACCACCGCCACCCCGGCACCGCCGCCAUGGUGCUCCGCACCGUCGUCACGCACGCGAAGAAGCACCCGGCCUUGAUUCCUCUGUUUGUGAUCAUUGGAUGUGGAGGUGUUGGUGCAAGCCUGUAUCUUAUGCGUUUGGCGAUGUUCAACCCUGAUGUUAGCUGGGACAAGAAAAAUAACCCAGAACCUUGGAACAAAAUGGCUCCCAAUGACCAGUACAAGUUGUUCUCGAUUAAUAUGGACUACAGUAGACUGAAAAAGGAUCGUCCUGACUUCUAAAAACACAACAAUGUCUGUAAGCUGGACAGAAAGGUCUUCCGGAAGCUGUUCGCACAAGUGUCAUGUUUAAUCAUCCAGGAAAUAAUUAAAUUUGCUUCACACAGCACCAGGUCAUGUGUUUGAAACUGUUUUGACGAGGCUUAAUAAACGUUUAAAACUUGAAGUGUCUGCUCUUUCAUUUUGCAAAAUGACAACAUCCUCCUAUUAACAGUUUCUGCUGUAUGGUUUGUCAGUAAGCAAAAGCCAUUUCAUGUUUCCUUGACAAGAAAGCAAAGUUGUUGUGGUUGGCCUUAUGCUCAGUGUGUUGAUCUCAGAAUAAUAACUGCAUGCUCAUGCAGUUAUACCAAACUUCAAAAACUUGAAAGCAUGUAUUUAUAUAUAUGCAUAAAUAUUUUUUAAUAUACCUGAAUUUAUCUACUUGCCACUUUAAGAAGUUUUGAUUGCAGAAAAGUUAAUGCCAGCAAGUCAUUAUCCAUCAGGGAGGGAGCAGAUGUUGCCAUAUGUUGCUGGAAGGAAGGAAAAAAACAGACUGUGCUCUCCAAAAGUUUUUGUUCCUUUCUUUUUUCUCUUCUAGUUAAGCAGGGUUUUUUUUUAAUUAAACAGAAAGACAACUUUCAAUAUUUAAAAAAUCAAAUUCUACAAACAUUGUCAAGAUUUCCUGUGGAUCACAGAUUUAAGGAAGGGAAGCACAUAGCUGAUGAGGGUACAGGUUUUGGGAAAUAAUUAGCUAUUCAUGUAAGAACAAAAACACGUUUUAGAAAGGGCAAAAUCUUGCACUUUAGUAUCUGGCUGAGUAUUGCUAUUGACUUAGUCUUGCUAUGGGAGGACAAAGAAAGUAUCUUUGCAAGUCUGUAACUUAUGGUAGGUUCUUUGUGCUUUACUGUGAACAUCUGGCACUUUGGAUAAGGGGUAUUAAUUCUGGGCUGUCUGACAGAGUACAGCUGUUCUUAUCUUGAUAAUCUCUGCUUAAAGUUGACUCCAAGAAUGUAGAUAGCCAUACCAACUAUUACAAGUAAUAAAGGCAAUUCAAGCAGCAAGAACUUAGAGAAGAAAAUUAUUCUGUGGUAAUUGGAAAAUAACGGAUAUUUGCAAAGACGUAUUUUAUAUGGAACAGCCUUGUAGGUAAAAUUGUCAUUUAUUUGGUAACAGUUCAGAUUAUCCUUUUAUUAUGUACUGAACCGGUGGAUUCACUCAGUUUUCAUUUGCUUGAAAGGCUCUCAUGAAGUCUGAAUAAGAAAAUGAGUAUUAUGACAUGAGACAUUAUUACAGUGGUGAGCAAAGCCCAUAGGUGUCCUUGUGGAAUGGUUCCUCUGGAUCCAAAUAGAACUGUUGCAACACUUUUGUUCAGUUUUAAAAGUAUGUUGUGUAAAAAUGGGAAUUGUGUUUUAUAGCUUGGUAGUUGGCAAUUCAUUUGAAUUUUAUCUCUUCAAAUACAGAUUCUCUGGACAUUAAAAAAGACCAAUAUCCAGGAAGUAAACCCAAUUCCUAGGGUGGAUAAGGUUAUUCCUUUUGUGCACAGCUGACAAAAGCAUAGGCUCAUGUCUUCCUUAAUAAAGGCACUUCAAUGUAUAUUUCAAAUAUAUUUAACAAGUGCUUAAGCUAAGUAAAUCUUUAAAUAUAAAUAGACUAGAAAACAAAAGGCAAUUAAUUCAGUGUUACUUGUCUUUGCCCAUUACAGCAUACUUGCUCCUAAAAGUACAUAAAACUUAAGAUUUUCUAAGUUUAAUUAUUCUAGAAGUUGUUGUCCUGAGGGGACACUUUCUCCUUUUUCUUGUAGGGAUAUACUUUAUCCUGUGUUAAAUGUAGUGGGCAAUAGUCACCAUUAUUUGCCAAUUUUAAGAGUAAUUUAUAAGAACCUUCCUGCCUUCCUGCCUUCCUGCCUUCCUGCCUUCCUGCCUUCCUGCCUUCCUGCCUGCCUGCCUCCCUCCCUUCCCUCCCUCUCUCCCUCCAUUUUUCUAGGGUAUUUUGAAAGACAGCCAGCAUGGCAAUAAUUUGUCUGUAUUAAAAUAUUCAAGGACUUCUUUAAAACAAUCACCUACGUCUUUCUUCAUUAAUCCAAAGAUAGAAUUCCCUGAAGACAGCGUGAGGAAGUGACUGCAGUUUGGAUUCUUAGAAUUACAUCUUACAUUUACUUUUGGCUAUUAACUCUUAUGAAACAAUGAAAUCCCAUCAUUAGUAGGAAAAGUGAAAUCCUUCAUUAAUGCCAUGUCUUGUAAUUUUGUUUGAGCAGAUGAUGUGUUAUCUGAAAGAGGCUGAUAUUCUGCUGUCUUAGAUUUCAUCUGGACACAGGCACUUGAUUUUGCGGCACAUUUUUUUUGAAUGGUCAGUGUGCACCUGGUCUUAAUGUCCUUUUCAUGAGCCACAUACAGAAGAGUCCUCUUAUUUUUGCAUUGAAGCAUUGUGCAUGCUACAGCAUUGCGCUUGCAUCAGAUUUCUGUUAACAGAGUUAUUCUGUGCCUCCUUAUCAGUGAUCCUGAUUAUGCAGCAGAGUGAUUAAAUCUGAAAUUAAUUCUGCCCAUCUAGGAUAGAAAGACUUACAGGUUUCUGUAGCUCUGGCACAUGAACACAUAUUCUAUACAGCAUGUUCAACAUUUUUUUAUUUGCCUACAGUAAGGAAAGCUCCUUGUUGGUAUAAAAUAUCUAGCUGCCUCUAAGAAAUUAGAAGGGUUUGCCUGAUAUUAAAAGAAUAAUUUAAAUUUUUUGUGGGAUUUAUAGGCAAAUGUCAUCUAAGGAAUACAUUUCAGAUCUGUUUUCAACCUCUGCCUUACAUUUAUAGUUAGUUUGGUGCAUGACUAUUGAAUGACCUUUAAAAUAAAGAAAUGUAUGUUAAAUGCUGAUUCACUAGUAAUACUUGGUCAGGAAGAAAGAUUGAGAGGUUAUGACAGGAAUUUUAUAAAUGUAUCUUGAAUGAUCUAAUUUAAAAAAAUUAGAGAUGUGCAGGUGCAGACUGAGUUACUGACUGCCCAGCCUUACUAUGGAUGCAACUGGAUGAGCUGUAGAACCACUUCUUCAGUACAAAGUGGAGCACAACAGGUCUGUUACAACUACAGAAAAGAGGUGUUCAUUAGCAUCAUUGCCACAGAAGGUUUUUUUAAUAUUACUUAAUAGAAGACUUACUCUUCAGUCCUCUCUUUUGAAAUCCAGAAGUUGGUCGACUUGAUGCUCUUGUGACCCAUUCACUUUUCCUUAGAAGUGGUCUUGACAUCAGUAUUUAGCCAUGAGAAAUUUCUGUGAAGCUCAAAUGAUUUCAUAUGCUCCUCUGAUCUUUAAGCUCCUUAAGACAGUCUCUGGACACUGCUAUGAUGUCAUAUUUCUCAAAUAUGUGCUGAUUCUGGUGCUGUGAAGUUUGGAAGAAAUAUUUUGGGCUUUGGGAUUUUUUUUCAAGAAUUUCCAAGUGCUAUUAUCUGGUUGGUCAGGCUUAACACUUUAUAAGUAAGGAUGACAUGAGCCAGUACAAUGCAAGAAGAUACAAAUCUCCUCCAUUCUUAAGAAGCAAAUCCAUUUUUAGCAUCCAGAAUAAUGUUUAUCUGAACUAGAAAAAUAAUUUGCAUUUUUUUUUGUUUGUUUUUCUCCUUUUUGGAAGUUUCAUUUAAAUGAAAAAAUAAUGUUUAGACUUUCUAAGCUAACUUUCUAAGCCAAUUCUCACAGUUACAAGGUGAAGAGGCUAGGAGAUCAACACACUUUAAUUUUCUUUUCUGUUUUCAGUCAGAAUCAGUGAUGCUUUAGGUAAUGUGAAAUGUGACCAUAAGUAUGCUAGUAAAGGCAAAAAAAAUGUAUUCAAACUUUUGAUAGUUUACUAUCAGCAUUUACCUGACAUUCAUUUGCUAAUAGAAUUGCAAGACUGGUAAGUGGAGCUCCUGCAAGAGACAGCAAAUUCUGAAGAUGAUCAGAAAAUAGAUUAUUAACACAUGGCAAUGCAUACAUUAAAAAGAAGAAAAGAAAUUCUGCUGGUUAUAUUCAUGUGUACUGUCAAUGCUUCAUAACAGUCACCUAAAAUAAUAUUUCUAGGAUCAUUAAUUUGAAUUACUUUGGACAAAAUAAUGCACUACACCAUUUACAGUUCAUCACUAUAAUGUAAAGACAACUUUACAAGAGAACUGCACAAGCCAUAAUCCAAUAGACAAAUUUAUAGACUUGUUUUUUUCACAUUAGAAGCAAACUAACUAUGAACAUGAAAUGUUUUCUAAUUUUAGUUUCUCUACUGCAGGCAAAUGAAACAAACUGCUGAGAAGGUAAUGAAAACAGAUUACUUAAUGGUGAAAAAUUUGAGUGCCAUUCUUUUUCUACCAGUGGUGCCACUGCUGGAAUUUAAUGGAGUGGCACCAGUGUGUCUGAAUGAAGAUUUUGAUCCCAGCUGUUUAAAAAUAGGGUUGAAUCUAAUAAGAUUUCCUCAGUACUGAUAGCUUUUUUUCCUCCUACACUGGGAGCAGGAAGAUAGAACUCAUUAUUAACACCAAGAAAGUGGAAUUUCAUCCCAGUUUCAAACUUCCUGCUCUAGUUCCAUGAUGAUUUGUUUCAGAUGUUCUUAUCUUCAUGUUAAGUCAAACAAAUUUAACUUCCUAGCUUUUUUGGAACCUUAAGGGAGAAAAUUUCAGCCCAGCAAUAAAGAUAAUGUGCUUUAAAUGACUAAGGAUCAUUGAAGCUUUUUUUUUAAACUUUUCAUGUGAAAGUCAUCUCUCUCCUACCCCUUUAUAAAAGCCCAGGUAAGUUCAGGAGGUAUUCCAGGAGGAAAAAAAAAAAGAGCAACAGACAUGCUAUGAAAUAGACAGAUGGAGCUGCAUCAGGUUUUACAUCAAUUACAGUAAGUUCUUGGAUUUAGUGCAAGAGCUUUCUUAGUUUAUGUCCUUCAAUUUCUGCAUACUUUUGGCAAUGCAGAAGUUGUUUAUUACACCAACCAUGACUGCUUGGCCUAUUAGGACGCAGUGAGAAUUAGGCUGAGUGUAAAGACAAAAGCAUGGUAUUCCAAUGGGUUUAAAUUACUGUGCAAAGAAGGUCUGGUGCACUGUCUUCUGAAUUUAGACUACUAAAGACAAGUUUGUAUUAGUGCCCUAGUGUGGAAUAAAAAUAAAAAACAAUUUUAUGGGUGAUUUUGAAAAUACCAUUCUUUCUUUCUGCAUUGCCUCAUAGAAACACAGUUUCUAAAAUGUUCCACAAUGUAAAGUAAACAUGUGAGCUGUGUCUGAACUGUAUGGAUUUUACUUUAUGCUUUCUCGUAAUUACUUAAUUCUCAGUAACCAUUUAUAUUAGUUUAAGCAUGUAGUAUUUUGUUUCAACCUAUGUUAUUGUUUCUUAACAAAAUUUGUCUUAUGCUUUUGAAUGGAAAAAGAUUUCAGAAGAUCUUUUAUCUUAAAUCUAAUUUUAUUUUUAUGUAUGAAAAUUAAAACCUGCAUCACCAGAAAGAGUUUUUCAGCAGAUUGUUACUCAAAGCAUUGGAGCAGAUACCCUCUCAGAUACUGGAGCAGGUAGUUGUUCUGUAAUGAAGUGUAGCAAAGUAGGCAGUUGGGUAUGACUCUCCCCAAAAUAAAGAGAGAUAAAAUUUCCAGGAGCUGUUUUAUGCUGGUGGUGCAACACCUAAAUAUGAAAGUACUAUUUUCACUAAUGGAUGGAUGGAUUCUGAAGAAUGGCUACCUGAUCUCCUUUUUAUCCAGGUCCCUGGCAAUUGUUUGCUUUUGUCAAUCCGUGGCAGAGGGGAAUAAGGUCAGGAGUUGACUAAUGGCCCAGACUACAUCAGCUGAGUACUUAUAAGUGAUCUAGACUGCCAAGCAGUGUUUACAAAGUAUAAAAAAGGUGACUCAAACCUUUUCUGUUUCCCAUAUCAAAGCAAAUCUUUCACAGCUGACCUGGUAGCUGGAGCAGGGUUGAGUUUUUACAAAUUCUACAAUUUAUUAACCUGUGCUUGGGCUGAUAAUGCAUAGAGAACCAUGGGCAAAGUUAAAAUGAGAUCCUCAAAUUUAGAGCGUUUUGCCAAAUAACUGUUUUGACCACAGAGCACAGUAUGCAGUGGUCGGGCAGUAGAUGUGAUUUAUGUUGUACCUAGCAGUAGACCUCCUAAUCCUGAAGUGUAGGUGCUUGCCCCAGCAGCUGGAUGAGUCACGUAGCUGCAUUUACUGCCUCAUGGAGCUUCAACAGUCUGCUUCAGGAACAGUGGAGCACUUCUGAAUGAAGCUUAAUAUUCCAUUAUCUGACUGUGGGCACAUCAAAUGCAAAAUAAACAGUCCAGUAGUGCAUCUGAAAUUCUAUUUGGAUGUGUUUUACUGUUUCUCAGUCAUUGUAGAGGACUUUUAUGUGAAAGAAGAAUGAGCUUUUGGAGACUGUAGAAAGAGAGAUUUGUUACAGCCAAAGCAAGGAGAAUGGAGAGACAGAAACAAGCAGCCUACUCACUCAGGCAUAGGAAAGCAGAGGAUGUAAAAUGUGCAGUAGAAGUAUAAUGAAUUUCUCCAUUACAAAUUAUUGUCACAGGGAAAUGUUCUUGUACAUGAAUUCUGACAUAGAAAAUUGGAUGGAUUUUUUUGUUUGUAUGUUGCAUUUAUUGAAAAUGAGAAAAGCUCAGUGACAGCAGUAUAUGAAUGUGUAUAGAUAUAUUGCUUAAGGUCUCCAUUUUUCUUGUCUCCAGUCUUUAUUCUCUCAUCUUCUCCUCAGCUAGAUAGCCAGGGUUUCUGCUUACUACCCUGAGAAAUCCACUUCACUCAUGUAUCUUCCUCUUGUCAUGAGCUUUCUGUGAGGCUAUGCUAUUUCUGGACAUGCUGGAAUCACUGUCUACUUCUGCAUUAAAAAGAAAUAGCACCUUUUCCCAUCAACAUCUCAUUACAGCUGUGUCACAGAUUUCUGAGUAAGCAGAAAAGUUAAGUGAUCCAAGUAAAAUUUUUUAGAAUUUUCAGUAGAAAACUCACUUGAGUCCAGAAUAUUUACCAACAAAUUGAUGAUCUGAUGGAAACCUGAUCUCUCUGAAAAAGAAGAGAUCUUAUAUUGUGGGCAGAAAAAUAUCACUGUAUAUUAAAUAGAUAAAACAUUGUCACCUCUUUCAAGAUUGUGCAUGUUUUUUGGUAGCAUAAAACCAAAUAAAUUCAGUGCCAUAUACAGAAAGAAUAUAGUAAAUAUUCAACUUAAAAAUGUAAUGGUAAAGGACACAAAGGUGUUUGUAUUCUGUAUUGUUUUGGUUUCUACUGAAAGAUUGUUAAUACCAAGUAGAAUUCUUUGUAGAUCCAGAAGGGAAGCAUAUGGUAUUCCUUGUCUCAAACCAGAUUUUGUAUUAUUGUAUGAGGUACCUGUUGAAAUUAAAAGGACAUUUCCCCAUCAGCUACAGCAGGCUUUGUAUUAAGAGCCUGUUGACUAUUUUAGGUUCCAUGAGGAAGGAAGGAAUGUCCAUGAUGACAUUUUCAUAUGUCACUGUCAAAUGAAUUUUUUGAUUUUUUGGGGUUUUUUUGAUUGUUUUUCAAUGAGAUCAGCAUUUCCCUUUAGGACUGGAUUUUCAGUAGGGUUUGGUGGUGAUACAGUCAAUUUUCUUCAUAGUAGCUAGUAUGAAGCUGUGUGUUGGAUCUGUGCUGGAAACUAUGUUGGUAAGGAUGUUUUAGCUGUGGCUGAGCAGAGUUUGCUCAGUCAAGGCCUUUCCUGCUCCUCGUCUCACCAGCAAGCUGAGGCUGCACAAGGAAUUGGGAGGGGACAGAGCUGGGACAUCUGAUCUGAACUGACCAAAGGGGUAUUUGACACCAUUUGGCAUCAUACACAGCAUGUAAGGCUUGGGAAGAAGAAGAAAGAGUGGGAUGUUCAGAAUGAUAGUGUUUAUCUUCCCAAGUAAUAACCAUCCAGGUGUGCUGGAGCCCUGUUCUUGUGGCAUGGUUGAAUACCUACCUGCCCAAGGAAGCAGUGAAUUAAUUCCUCCUUUGUGACUUCUCUUCUACCUAUUACACUGUCUGUAUCUCAACCUAUGAGUCUUUUUGUUUUUACUCUUCUGAUUCUCUCUCCCGUCCCACCAAGGGAAAAUGAGAGAGAUAUGGAACUUGGUUGCUGGCUGGGGUUAAACCCAUGAUAGGUAGAGAUUGUUCAUAAAAGCUGCUUUACAAAUCCAAGAUGUCAGAGAGGACUCUUAGAGCUACUUCAUAUAUUUACUAUUUUGUACAGGCACACAAAUACAUUUAACAUUAGCAAGUUCCGUUGUCAUGCAAUUUUUUGACUCAGUGACUUUAAUUCUGUGGAAUGCAUACUAUUUUGCAUUUUAUCUCUGUCCCCUAAAUCAAAUAAACCUUGCAUUUUU